AAUCGUAUGACUUCGAUGAUUAAUUGCGAGGGAACGGAGCUAUGAAUGAUUGAACGUCCUUUCUGUUCUUUGUUUCAAUGAACACUAUCUCUAAUGGCUCAAACUCCAAAAUUUAACGUUUCCUCUCUCCUUUUCUCUCCAACAAGAAGGCAACAAAAUGGAGCCUUCAUCUUCAUCAUCGGGAGCAGUGAAUGGGUGUAGUAUAAUGAGGAUGACAGAAUCGCUUUCGCAGCAAAUUAUGAUCCGAAACGACAUGGCAACCACGGCAAGGUCUCAGGCGUAUUUGGAAACCAAAGCAGUGAGUGAUGCCAAGAGCUUAGUGGCAGAGCUGUGCCGCCAAUUCUAUACGAUGGGGUGGGUUUCGGGUACUGGUGGAAGCGUCACCGUCAAAGUCCACGAUGACUCUGUUCCUCGGCCCCACCAGCUUAUUGUCAUGUCCCCUUCUGGUUUUUAUACUUGGUGUUUUUUGAUGGCUUUGGGGAGCAUCAAUCUAAUAAUGCACUUAUGUAAUAUUUUUCUGUUUGCAUUUUGUGAAAUUUGUGUAGGUGUUCAGAAGGAAAGAAUGGUACCAGAGGAUAUGUACGUGCUAUCAUCUGAUGGGUUUAUAUUAUCAACUCCUACCCCUAAGCCAUAUCCUUAUAAGCCUCCCAAAUGUACUGAUUGUGCUCUUCUCUUCAUGAAGGUUUAUGAGAUGUGUAAUGCUGGGGCUGUUAUUCACAGUCAUGGAAUGGAGUCAUGUCUUGUAACUAUGAUCAAUCCUUUCUUGAAGGAGUUUCAAAUUACUCAUAUGGAGAUGAUAAAAGGAAUUCAAGGGCACAGUUAUUCUGAUGAGCUUGUGGUCCCAAUAAUUGAAAAUACUUCCCUUGAAGGAGAACUGACUGAGCCAAUUACUGAGGCGAUAAGAGCUUACUCAAAGACAACAGCUGUGCUUGUUCGCAACCAUGGGGUGUAUAUAUGGGGAGAUUCAUGGAUCAGUGCCAAGACUCAGGCUGAAUGUUAUCAUUAUCUCUUUGAUGCUGCUAUCAAGCUCCACCAAUUGGGGUUGGACUGGUCUACACCGUGUCAUGGACCCAUUCACAAUUUUAAUGGAGUUUGGGGAUCUGGUGGAAAUCUCAGCAGGAGUUUCAGAACAGGGGCUUUUGGUUUAGAUUACAUGAUUGAGCCUUCCCAACAUUGCAUUCUGCUCGACAAUGAAGGGACAGCUACUCCUAUAACAUUUAUUACCAAUGUUCUUGUCCCCUAUGCACUUGAUAACUUAGGAAAACAUUUGGCUGCAACAUAUGACAGUGAAGAAACUCAAGAAGAUAUCAAUUUGCUGCGUUCUCAAAUUCAAGAUGAUUUUGAGAAAGGUGUUGUUGGUGCUGUGCCUAUUCCACCUGAUUAUGUUGGGAAAGAGCUGGUAAUUGCUUCUUUGGUUGCUAAUGUGGAAGCAAUGAUGAGAACUGAUAGGGUCAUAUAUGGAGAACUGGAUUUCAAAGCAAUGAGUUGGUUGGUGUUGUAUUUGAUGAUGUGCAAGAAGCUCUUCAAAAGUGGCAUGCUUCAGGCAUCAAGGUACCUUCUCUCUCAGUCUCAUGCUAUGUUUGAUUUCUGGUCAUUGGCCAUUUGGAGCAUAAGAAAAUGAUCCUUGAAAUCUCUUUCAUUUUUCUUCCUCUCUUCCUUUCCUUAUUCAUUUUCAUCUUUAUUGUCACAAAAUAUUGACUGCUUUUAUGUGCAUAUGGUCCAGUUGCUUCAAGUUGUAGUUUUUGAUAGGAACUGCAAUGUAAGUUUGGAAAGCUAUAAUAUAUGCUUGCUUUGGUCUUUAAGCAAGGAACAAAAUAAUAGUGUUCUUUCAUUAUGUUGUAUUCUAGACUUGUACUCUUGGUAGGUAUAGGAUUACGUCAUUAUAGCUGCUUUCUGGAUGGAGCCAAAUAAUACAUUUAUUUAUCGGAGCAUUCCUUGCACGAGCUCAAGGCCUUGUCUUCCCUUUAAUUGUAUGCAUGGAUGCUGGGUUCUAUUCGUUUUCUUCCUCUCUGUUAAAUAUUGUAGAUUCUUUACAUUUUUAAUUUCUAUUUCUAAGAUGGUUUAUCUUGUAUGCCUCAAUGUAGCGCUUGGUUAUUGCUUGAGCACCAGUGACCUAUUUGCUUUUAUAUUUGAAGUGCUAGAUUCAGGUGCUGAUGGGAUGUGCUACAAUUGGCUGAUUGUGGAGUGGUGUAUGUAUAUUCUAGUGGUAGCAGGGAAUCACAACAACUCCUUUUUGCCAAAUCUAACUACGGUGACUUGAGAAAAUACUUCUGUGGAUUUUUUGAUACUACAGUGGGGGAUAAGAAGGAAACA